UACGUAGGGGGCAAGCGUUGUCCGGAUUUAUUGGGCGUAAAGCGCGUGUAGGCGGCCAGAUAGGUCUGCUGUGAAAACUCGAGGCUCAACCUCGAGCUGUCGGCGGAAACCAUCUGGCUAGAGUCCGGAAGAGGAGAGUGGAAUUCCUGGUGUAGCGGUGAAAUGCGCAGAUAUCAGGAAGAACACCGGUGGCGAAGGCGGCAUCCUGGACCAAUACUGACGCUGAGGAGCGAAAGCCAGGGGAGCAAACGGG
rnacentral:rRNA from 1 species